UGUCAGUUUGUCAAAUACCCCAA
rnacentral:ncRNA from 30 species